CAGGAUCAACCAGGUAGCAUUCCAAGUCGACUUCUGGCACUGCAUGGAAGAAUCCAAAACAACACCAAUUGUCGUUCACACAUAGCGUGGGACGCUUUUUUAGGGGCAAAUAGAGACCGAUGAUGAUGCCUCGUGCCCACGAUGUACUCCAUGACCGAGAGAACGAACRUAGUGCCAUUGAUCCAACAACCCAAGAACAUUGAAGCAAUUGAGGGUUGGGGCAUGGCAUUUGUUUCGAAGUUCACAUCGCACCACGAACCCAAGGGAUCGCAACUUGAGGCGAAAAGACGUAAUUAAUCUAACGAAUUCCCACACUUUGGUUAUAUAACACAGGAAACCGAGCAUGGCCGAGAUGUUUAUCCUUAUCUUGAGCCGAUUACUGAAGAGGCGUGACAGAUACAUUUUCGCUGCGCAAGCAGGGAAUCAACAUACCCAUACACCCCAACCACCACUCACGCGCUCUAU
rnacentral:misc_RNA from 1 species